UACGAAGGGGGCUAGCGUUGUUCGGAAUCACUGGGCGUAAAGGGUGCGUAGGCGGAUUCUUAAGUCAGGGGUGAAAUCCCGAGGCUCAACCUCGGAACUGCCUUUGAUACUGGGGAUCUUGAGUCCGGAAGAGGUGAGUGGAACUGCGAGUGUAGAGGUGAAAUUCGUAGAUAUUCGGAAGAACACCAGUGGCGAAGGCGGCUAACUGGCCCAUUACUGACGCUGAGGCUCGAAAGCGUGGGGAGCAAACAGG
rnacentral:rRNA from 1 species